CUGGUGGGGGCAGAAAGGGAGCUGCGAGGGCCGCCGCGGCUGCAGACCACGCACACCCUUGUAUGGCGGCCUGGCAGAGAAGUAUGGAAAAAGAUUUACUGCAUGGUAAUGGCCAAGAAGUACCCUGGCGGAGACUGCAAGAUUUCCCAAGGGUUUCCUGCUAUAGCAAGACAAAGAUACCUGCUGGGGCAGGCCAGUAAGGUCACCCCCUGAAGCAAACAGACUAAGGCUAUUAGACUUGCCACAGUAUGCCCAAAGGGGACACUAGCUAGAAGAGGAAAAUGAGGCUUAUACUCGUGGCAGACUGAAACAUCCAGUUUCAGGAUCAAACUUCUGCCUUGGGUUCAAACAUGGAGAAAUGAGGCUUAUGACUUCCUGACGGAACUCAAUUAUAAUUGGUGGACAGGGAUUAAAGCGUACAGGUGAUGCAUUUGAAGAGAGAACUGCAGACCCAAGUAAAGAGCCCAGAAGAUGUAGGAAGUCAAUGGAGGAUUUGGAGCAGAGGCACAUCCUAGUCUGACUUGCAUUUCAGAAGGAUCUGGCUGCAGAAUGCACAGUGCGGAGUCAGGACUGGAAACAGGGUGACUGGUUUGAAGCCUGUUCCAUCCCUCUAAAGAUCUUGCUUGAGUUAGUUACUGUGUAGAUGACAAAAAGUACUGGAGUCAGAAUUCUUUUGAAGUUUGACCUGACAGACUUG